GACUUUGUCUCGUCUCUUUUUUAAACCGUUAAUCUUCAUGCUAACAACUUCAUAAUUCUGAUGCAAAUAGAAUGAUGGCCAACCAUCCCUCCAUCCACAUACUUUGGAUCUGCUGUUUUGAUCUUAAGUAGAAUUGUUGAAAAGUUAAAUAUACUGUGUUACUUAGGCAUAAUUAUUAAAAACAGGAAGCACCAUAUUGUCAUGUAUGAAAGAAAAUGAAGUUGCACAAUAUUAGCUUCAAUAAAUAUUCAGAAUAGGCCAAGUAUGGUAUUGGAUUCUAUUUAUUUUUACCUUAAAGUUAUGUUGGAACUGCUAGAACCAGAAUAAGAGAGUCUCUAUGACUGUUGACUGAUUGUAGGUUCAGAUUUAGUCUUAAGAUCAUGUUCUGCUCUUGUUCAUUCUGUAAGUGAACAAUAUUCUUUUUCAAGCAUGAUGCAAAUUAUCAUUUGUGCUGGAAGGAGGGAUUGUUCGUGGGCAGUUCUUGAAACACUGCAGCCCUGUCCAUCCACAGUUCAGUGAUGCUGAGCUGUUUGUGAACACUUCAAGCCUGGGCUACAGCAAAUGAAGAGAACGAAAGAUUCAUAGCUAUUAGAGCUCAGCAGAAGUUCGAGCCUGGUCCUGUUCUUCAUCUCACAUUGAAGACAUAGGCAAAGGGGCAGAGUCAUGAUAAUCAUACUGAACAAACUUGCCUGUGUAAGUUUAGUCAUUUAAGCGUGGGAACACAAGUUCCUGUUGAGAAAUGCAAAGAAGAACAAGAAAAGUAGCUCAUUGUCUCAUAUUCCCCUAUUCCACAAAGUGACAGAUCAUUACUAAGUUAAUGAUGCUUGUAGUAGUGAUUUUGUGAUCUGGACUUCCGCUGUAGAUAUUGUUAGAGAUUACAUGUUAUAAUAUUUUUCUUUGUGUAUAGAUGUAUAUAGACUAGCGUGGAGGCUAAUUUGUUAACAAGAAAGUAAUUUAAAUUAUACUAUUUAUAAAAAAAGCUAGGUGUUUGAGGAAUUGUAACUCUGAAGUCCCAAUUUCCUUCUUAGUCUGUCGACUCUGUUGCUUAUUCUUAAAUGAAAUACAGACAAUGCCUGUUACUUCCUGUGCUUACUUAGCAAAUAUCUAGAAAGUUGGUUUUAAAAAAUAAAAAUAAAAAAUCAACACUCAUGCUGUUUUUUCCAUAGUUUAAAGACCAGUUCUGCUGACAACAUAAUUGUGUAAGCUGCAACUCCUACUCAUUUCUCUCUGAGCUAACAGUGUCCAUGGACUGUAGCAACAGCAGCUGCAUAUCUUCCCUGGCACAGAAUGAUUUAGGGUGGAGAGCAGAUUCUUUCCCCUUCAAAUCACUUCAGAAAAUUCUUGGCAGAAAGCCAGCUGAUUUGUUUUGUUCAAGUAGGGAGGUUUGAUCUAUCAGCACAGAAAAAGUAUUCUUAUAAAUACUGCACUGAAAGGCAAGAAUUCAGUUUCUGCAUCCUAGAUCAGUUGAUUUUGUUCUUCUGCUCAUAACAUUUUAAGUUUUUUUUUUCUUAUGCAAUUACUAAACUAUGUAGAAAAUGCAAAUUUGAGACAAUGCAGCCCUCUUGCUUUUUUUUUUUUUUUUUUUUUUUUUUUCUGCAGUUUAUGAUAUAGUUUGCAAUAUAGGUGUGAACUGGAAAAUGUUGGUCAAAGAUUAGCAUGGGAAAUACAAAUUAAAAAAUACACAUUCCAGAUGCACAUUCCAAAAUGAAAUUGCAGUUGCAAUGCAGACAUCUUACAGGUCAGGGUGUUUUGUUUUGUUUUGUUUUGCUUCUGGAUUACUAGGUUUACAGAAUAAAGAAGCCUAAAUAUGGAAAUAAGAUUUUAUUAUUUUCUUUUACAAUUAUGCCUAUUUAGGCAAUCCUCCUAAAUGCCUACUAAAUUAUUUCUAAAUGAAAGUAUUUUUAAAAUAAUUAUUUAAAGUUCUUACUGAUUCAUGAUAAAGCAAAAUAUUGAAAAUAUUCCAAAUUCUUUAUUAAAUCUGUAUGGGAUGUCCUGGGAUAUAACCCAUUGGUUACAUUUACAGGUUUAAGCAGUGCGGUUUUAGCUAUAAAAAGGGUGACGUUUUCUGUUUUUUAUGUAUGUAUAUAUGUCUGCAUGUAUGUGUUACAAGGAGAGAUAUAUCUCAGUUCUUAAAAACAUGAUGCCUGAAUGUCUUCCAUAACUCUAAGGUGUUGAAAUCAUAUAUAUAUAUAUAUAAUAUAUAUAUAUAUUCUGUUUACUCAGCAGGAAAUGGAUUUUAUUACAUACUCAGCUGAAGAUUGAGAUUUUCUGUGGUCCAGCCUGAAGCUAAGAAAUCAUGCAGAAAAUCAAGUGCAUACAUGAAGACGGUAUCUUUGGUGUGGCUGGAGGAGAUAAUUAUAUUGCUGUGAAGUGGAUCAGACACCUGCUGGACACUUAUGGUGCACCUCAAGUGACCGUAAAGAACAGUGUUGACAGCCACGAGGUUAAUGCUGACGAACAAAUGAUAAAGAAUCAGCAGAAGAGUGAGUAAGGCGUGUUAUGUGUUAUACCAAUGGAAUGUUGAACCUAAAUCACAUGAAUUAAACUUACUCCUUUUUUCACAAGUACUGAAAGAUAAUAAAACAAAAGUUACUGAAGUUGUGAUUGCACAAUUGCUUACAUAUAUAAUCAGCAUUAUAUGUGCCAAUUUCGCUUUUAUCAGUAUAAAGUGCUGAUUCAAUGUGAGGGUUAAACAGAUUUCUUUAUCUCUGUGUAUAGUAUGACUCUUUCUGUUUAUAUGUGGGAGAUUUUUGACCUAACACUCUAUAAUUCCUACACGAUCUGUAGAAAAUGCACCUCCUUUACAUAGAAAUCAGAAGUGUGCUAGCAUGGGUAGCAUGGGUAGCAGAAGUGUAGCUCAGCUACCUCAGUACACUCAGCUAACUGCUGAUCCCAGUUUCUGCACUUUGCUGAGCUGCACUCAGCCACAAAGUAAUAGCCCAUAAUGGAUAUGGUGGUUUCACCCUGAUGGGCAGCCCAGGUCCACCACACUGCUGUCUCACUCCAUACCCUUCAAAAGAAUGGGGAGAAAAUACAAUAAAAUAUUUCAGGGGUUGAGAUGACAAAAGGAAGAUCACUUGCCAAUUACUGUCACAGGCAAAAGAGACUCAGUAUAGGGAGAUUAAUGUUAUUUAUUACCUCUUGAUAACAGAUUAGCGUGGUGAGAACUAAAACACCUUCUCCCUCCACCCACCCUCUUCUAAGGAAUGGGGAUGGGGUUGUGGUCAGUCCACACUGCUUUGUUAGUGUGAAUGCUUUUAUUGCUGCUCCAUCACGGUUAGUCUCUGCCCCUGCUCCAGUACGGGUCUCCCACGGGCAGCAGCUCCCACCCCGA